rnacentral:tRNA from 1 species
GGAGGGGUGGCCGAGUGGUCGAUGGCGCCGGUCUUGAAAACCGGAAGACUCGCGAGAGUCUCGUGGGUUCGAAUCCCACCCCCUCCGCCA